AGUCGCGCUCGGUCCCUGCCGCCGGUCGUCCGUCCGUCGCGUGCUGCCGCCUGCCACAACAGUGAGCGUUGAACACUUAGCAGUCCCACGGACAGCGCCGCACCGCUCCGACCUGACCCAGGUCAUCAGAGGCGGACCCGCAGCCCAGCUGGGCUCAGCUGCUCUCAGAUACUACUGAGGUGCAAAGGUUUGGACUUAACCGCAGUUUAGUGGAGGAGUCACUGCACUGCACUUCUGCCAUAAUUUGAAGAUUGAUCACGUCACAGAAGCGGAUUUCUGAAAAGAUGGGGGCAGCACGUGCAGCGGGCAUUCUGGCGGCGGUGGUAGCAGCGCUGGUGCUGCCACCUGCCGUGCUCGGCCUCGACAACGGCCUGGCACUGACGCCGCCCAUGGGAUGGCUGGCCUGGGAGAGGUUCCGGUGCAACACAGACUGCGUCAACGACCCCAAAAACUGCAUCAGUGAGAACCUGUUCUUUGAGAUGGCCGACCGUCUGGUGGCUGACGGCUACCUGGCUGCCGGCUACGAGUACAUCAACAUCGACGACUGCUGGUCGUCCCGCACCCGGGGCGACGACGGCCGACUGCGUGCCGACCCCGAGCGCUUCCCCAGCGGCAUCAAGGCGAUCGCCGACUAUGUUCACUCCAAGGGUCUAAAGCUGGGCAUUUACGGCGACUACGGCAACUACACGUGCGCCGGCUACCCGGGCAGCCUGGGACACCUGCAGACGGACGCGCAGACGUUCGCCGAGUGGAACGUCGACUUCGUCAAGUUCGACGGCUGCUACGCCCACCCUAAGGAUAUGGAUAAGGGAUACCCAGAGUUUGGGUUCCACCUGAACCAGACCGGUCGCCAGAUGGUCUACUCGUGCUCCUGGCCCGUGUACCAGAUCUUCAGCGGAAUGACGCCCGACUACGCGUCGAUCGCCAAGCACUGCAACCUGUGGCGGAACUACGACGACAUCCAGGACUCGUGGGCGUCGGUGACGACCAUCAUCGACUACUACGGUGACAAUCAGGACGUCCUGAUCCCGCUGGCCGGGCCCGGACACUGGAACGACCCCGACAUGCUCAUCAUCGGUAACUUCGGUCUCAGCUACGAGCAGAGUAAGGCGCAGAUGGCGCUCUGGGUGGUGAUGGCGUCGCCGCUGCUCAGCUCCGUCGACCUGCGCACCAUCGGACCCGAGUACCGGGCCAUUCUGCAGAACCGCGCCGCCAUCGCCAUUAGCCAGGACCCGCUCGGCAUCCAGGGCAAGCGCAUCUUCAAGGACAAGGGUAUUGAGAUCUGGGCGCGUCCGAUCACCCCGGUGGUGGGCGAGUACUACUCGUACGCCAUUGUGUUCUUCAACCGGCGUGUGGACGGCACUCCGAGCCAAGUGUCGGUCACCAUACACGAGCUGGGUAUGCUGAACGCCGCCGGAUACAGGACAGAGGACGUGUUUGCCGGCCAGUCGUACGGCGUGCUGUACCCGGCCGACCGUCUGAAGGUGGACGUCAACCCGUCUGGUGUGGUACUGGUGCGCUGCAGCGCGGUACCGGCGCGCGCGUUCGGCCGGCCGCCGCAGCAGCAACUCCAGAGAGGCGGACGGCCCUUCUUCACGACAACUCGCCCCAGGUUCUUCUGAGAUUUUGAACGCAAGAAGAGAUUAUGAGGUGCUAGCGCUCUCCGUGUCGAGACCUCGGCUACGGUCCCGUCGCCGAGCUGUCUGUCGACCCGCGCUGUCUGCCGAUCCUUGCUGUCUACCAGCCGUGAGAGCGGUUCGUGCCUUAGCACGAGGCCGACCCCCGCCUGUGUGUGGCGUCCUCCGGCCCGCCGGACUGAGUCGGCAGAGCGCACUGGAGACUGAUAGUUGGUGCUGCCUCGCGGGGCUUGUCCGGUCUCCCGGAGGGCGGAGCUGCAGGCUGCCAUGCCGUCAUUCAUGUGCAUCGUCUACUUUAUCAUUGUUCGAUUCUCCAUUGCGUGAUGUGAGCGGUGCCUUGCACGUAUUCAGAUAGUGUUUUGACGCGGUGUGAAUGUGAAAUGCUGCGGAUAGUCUUUUAUACGGGAGGGGAUAUGAAUUGAUGUGACGCUUUUGUAGGUUGAAUUCAGAUCUGGAGAUUACAUUGCUCAUUCCAUUGCUGAUAGCACGUGAGCAUGCGUUGGUGAACUUUAUCACGUGUGUUGAGUGGAAUUGUACCAACAUUCCGGUAUCUUUGUCGACUGUUGACCCGUGUGAGCUAGCGCUGGACAGGCAGGCUGUUGUGUACUGUGUCGUGGCUUAGCAAUACACUAGUGGCUGACACA
rnacentral:misc_RNA from 1 species